rnacentral:rRNA from 1 species
CUCGAAGGUGGCGGGUUAUUCGAACAGAUUAGAUACCCUUGUUAGUCGCACGGUAACGAUGGAUGCCCGCUGUUUGCGAUUAUUACUGUGAGGCGGACAAAGCGAAAAGCGUUAAGCAUCCCAACUGGGGGAGUACGCCGGCAACGGUGAACUCAAAGGAAAUUGACGGGGGCCAGCACAAGCGGAGGGAACAUGUGGUUUAAUUCGAUGAUACGCGAGGAACCUUACCCGGGCUUGAACUGCAGGAGAACGAUUCAGAGAUGAUGAGGUCCUUCGGGACUCCUGUGGAGGUGCUGCAUGGUUGUCGUCAGCUCGUGCCGUGAGGUGUCGGCUUAAGUGCCAUAACGAGCGCAACCCUUUUCAUUAGUUGCCAUCAGGUGAUGCUGGGCACUCUGGUGAUACUGCCACCGUAAGGUGUGAGGAAGGUGGGGAUGACGUCAAAUCAGCACGGCCCUUACGUCCGGGGCUACACACGUGUUACAAUGGGUGGUACAGAGAGUCAAUGCAACGCAAGUUGUGUUCAAUCAAUAAAGCCAUCCUCAGUUCGGAUUGGGGUCUGCAACCCGACCCCAUGAAGCUGGAUUCGCUAGUAAUCGCGCAUCAGCCAUGGCGCGGUGAAUACGUUCCCGGGCCUUGUACACACCGCCCGUCAAGCCAUGAAAGCCGGGGGCGCUUGAAGUCCGUGACCGCAAGGAUCGGCCUAGAGCGAAACUGGUAAUUGGGGCU